rnacentral:rRNA from 1 species
AGUGAACGCUGGCGGUAGGCCUAACACAUGCAAGUCGAACGGCAGCACAGUAAGAGCUUGCUCUUACGGGUGGCGAGUGGCGGACGGGUGAGGAAUACAUCGGAAUCUACUUUUUCGUGGGGGAUAACGUAGGGAAACUUACGCUAAUACCGCAUACGACCUACGGGUGAAAGCAGGGGAUCUUCGGACCUUGCGCGAUUGAAUGAGCCGAUGUCGGAUUAGCUAGUUGGCGGGGUAAAGGCCCACCAAGGCGACGAUACGUAGCUGGUCUGAGAGGAUGAUCAGCCACACUGGGACUGAGACACGGUCCAGACUCCUACGGGAGGCAGCAGUGGGGAAUAUUGGACAAUGGGCGCAAGCCUGAUCCAGCCAUACCGCGUGGGUGAAGAAGGCCUUCGGGUUGUAAAGCCCUUUUGUUGGGAAAGAAAAGCAGCAGGUUAAUACCCCGCUGUUCUGACGGUACCCAAAGAAUAAGCACCGGCUAACUUCGUG